AUUGAACGCUGGCGGCAUGCUCUACACAUGCAAGUCGAACGGUAACAGGCCGCAAGGUGCUGACGAGUGGCGAACGGGCGAGUAAUGCAUCGGAACGUGCCCAGUCGUGGGGGAUAACUACUCGAAAGAGUAGCUAAUACCGCAUACGAUCUAUGGAUGAAAGCGGGGGACCGUAAGGCCUCGCGCGAUUGGAGCGGCCGAUGUCAGAUUAGGUAGUUGGUGGGGUAAAGGCUCACCAAGCCAACGAUCUGUAGCUGGUCUGAGAGGACGACCAGCCACACUGGGACUGAGACACGGCCCAGACUCCUACGGGAGGCAGCAGUGGGGAAUUUUGGACAAUGGGCGCAAGCCUGAUCCAGCAAUGCCGCGUGCAGGAAGAAGGCCUUCGGGUUGUAAACUGCUUUUGUACGGAACGAAACGGCUCUGGUUAAUACCCGGGGCUAAUGACGGUACCGUAAGAAUAAGCACCGGCUAACUACGUG
rnacentral:rRNA from 1 species